rnacentral:misc_RNA from 1 species
AUCUUUCGUUUUAUUUCCUUGUUUUGUUGUCCGGGGCUAAACUGAUGCAAUCAGGGUCGACUGGGUAUAUUUAUAGUGAAGGUGGUAUACGUUCUUUUCUAAGUACAGAUCGACAUCUGAUUCAGUACUGUUUUUCAAUUGGUGGUGAAAAAACUUUACAUGGAUUGCAUACUGUGAAUGUUAAGCGGGCGUUUUCGUAGUGGAAUUUAAAGUACUUUAUACAACACAGGAGUGGAGAGAUAUACACAGUUGAUGCCAACGGACAGACAUGUUAACCAUCUACCACCUCCUGAGGACAUGCCUCUGGACUUUACCCCUGUUUACUGUUAUAUGGUCGGUCUCGGGUUUCGCUAUAACGUGAGUAGAAAAUUUUUCAUAACAUAAGGGUUAAAAAACAAAAUUUAUUGUGUGAUGUAAUAGCCAUGUUGUAUUAAUUUGUUUUCGUCUCAUCUUUGUUAAGGAAGAAUUUUUUCCGUAAUGACUACACCCUUUUCUUAUAAGAGACAAAUAGUCCCAUCACGUGUGGAUUGUUCAAAAUCCGUGUAUGUACCAAGGUGCAUGAACUUUAAAAUUAAGAUUUCCGUGUUUGAGAUCUAUUGACUUUGAUCAAUGUGAGAUUUAUUGUCAAAAUUAAUCACUCAUAGCACUUUCCUUCGAGUACAGGUCCUUAAAUACAUGCAAUAUCAAGUAGGACAUUUUAAACUAAUGGUUAGUAUGGUGACGUACUUGAUACGAAGGCGCUUUUUGAGAAUAAUAUUCUUUUUUCAAUUGCAAAAUAUCUUCUGUGGUAUUAAUUAUUCAAUGUUACAGGCUCUUCUUUGUAGGUUCUCAGUUGUGCAAUCCAUUCCUUAAAUAAUACUGAACGUCCACUGCAUGAAAUAGUCAAGUGCAUAUAUCUAUGAGAUGAAAAGAAGAAACCUCAUAUCAAAGGAAUCAAAAACAAAUGAAACCUUCAAACAAAACAAUGGCGUGUGUUUCUAAAGUAUGAGCACAUUUACCUGGCUAUACUAUUUUAAAUACAUAAAAAAGCGUAAUGAAUAAUCAUGUCAAAGUACUUUUAUUAAAUAUUAACAUAGCCAAUAAUAGAUACUUUUCAACACCACGGGCUGUUUUUUUUAGUAUUAUCUGUCUGGAGAAAGCAAUUCAAAUCUAUUAGUGUCACACGGAUGAAUUAGCACUGUAAUGAAAAAAGACUUAUUACAGUAAGACAAUUUGUUUUCUUCCGUGCGGGGUGGGGGUGAUGAGCUAUAUUUAGGACUCUCAAUUUAGUAAUGUUGGUUACAGUUUAUUUUUACAUUUUUGUUAUUGACUUUAUUAUAUCAAUUCCCUGCCUACCUUGCUUCAUAAAAUACAUUGCUCAUCAAAAAUAUGUUUUCAUUAGCUAAUGGACUGGAAAUAAAUGAGCCAACCAGAUCUAAAUCUGAACAUUC